UAAUGGUGGGGACUCAUGGGAGACUGCCGGGGUCAACUCGGAGGAAGGUGGGGAUGACGUCAAGUCAUCAUGCCCCUUAUGUCCAGGGCUUCACACAUGCUACAAUGGCUCAUACAGAGGGCUGCGACACCGUGAGGUGGAGCAAAUCCCUUAAAGUGAGUCUCAGUUCGGAUCGGGGUCUGCAACUCAACCCCGUGAAGUUGGAGUCGCUAGUAAUCGCAGAUCAUCAACGCUGCGGUGAAUACGUUCCCGGGCCUUGUACACACCGCCCGUCACGUCACGAAAGUUGGUAGCACCCGAAGCCGGCGGCCCAACCCUUGUGGAGGGAGCUGUCAAAGGUGGGACUGGCGAUUGGGACCAAUUCGUAACAAGGUAGCCGUACCGGAAGGUGCGGCUGGAUCAC
rnacentral:rRNA from 1 species